CGGGGCUUGGAUCAUGAUGCUGUGGGCCCCGCCAGCGUUGAACUGGUGAUCACGGGGAUCUCCAUACACCAGUCGGUAUAGCCAUCAAAGUCUGAAAGUAGGCCGUCGGGGGUGCUCACCUUAGCCCGUCGCUCCGAAUUUUAUGAGGACGAUGAUGCUGCACGCCGUGGAGGGGUAAGCUGAGUCAGGCAGCUUAGAAUGUGCAGACGCCG
ncrna:unclassified sequences PAGEV RNA